rnacentral:rRNA from 1 species
AGAGUUUGAUCCUGGCUCAGAUUGAACGCUGGCGGCAGGCCUAACACAUGCAAGUCGAACGGUAGCACAGAGAGCUUGCUCUCGGGUGACGAAUGGCGGACGGGUGAGUAAUGUCUGGGAAACUGCCUGAUGGAGGGGGAUAACUACUGGAAACGGUAGCUAAUACCGCAUAACGUCGCAAGACCAAAGAGGGGGACCUUCGGGCCUCUUGCCAUCAGAUGUGCCCAGAUGGGAUUAGCUAGUAGGUGGGGUAAUGGCUCACCUAGGCGACGAUCCCUAGCUGGUCUGAGAGGAUGACCAGCCACACUGGAACUGAGACACGGUCCAGACUCCUACGGGAGGCAGCAGUGGGGAAUAUUGCACAAUGGGCGCAAGCCUGAUGCAGCCACGCCGCGUGUAUGAAGAAGGCCUUCGGGUUGUAAAGUACUUUCAGCGGGGAGGAAGGUGUUGUGGUUAAUAACCACAGCAAUUGACGUUACCCGCAGAAGAAGCACCGGCUAACUCCGUGCCAGCAGCCGCGGUAAUACGGAGGGUGCAAGCGUUAAUCGGAAUUACUGGGCGUAAAGCGCACGCAGGCGGUCUGUCAAGUCGGAUGUGAAAUCCCCGGGCUCAACCUGGGAACUGCAUUCGAAACUGGCAGGCUAGAGUCUUGUAGAGGGGGGUAGAAUUCCAGGUGUAGCGGUGAAAUGCGUAGAGAUCUGGAGGAAUACCGGUGGCGAAGGCGGCCCCCUGGACAAAGACUGACGCUCAGGUGCGAAAGCGUGGGGAGCAAACAGGAUUAGAUACCCUGGUAGUCCACGCCGUAAACGAUGUCGACUUGGAGGUUGUGCCCUUGAGGCGUGGCUUCCGGAGCUAACGCGUUAAGUCGACCGCCUGGGGAGUACGGCCGCAAGGUUAAAACUCAAAUGAAUUGACGGGGGCCCGCACAAGCGGUGGAGCAUGUGGUUUAAUUCGAUGCAACGCGAAGAACCUUACCUACUCUUGACAUCCAGAGAACUUUCCAGAGAUGGAUUGGUGCCUUCGGGAACUCUGAGGCAGGUGCUGCAUGGCUGUCGUCAGCUCGUGUUGUGAAAUGUUGGGUUAAGUCCCGCAACGAGCGCAACCCUUAUCCUUUGUUGCCAGCGGUCCGGCCGGGAACUCAAAGGAGACUGCCAGUGAUAAACUGGAGGAAGGUGGGGAUGACGUCAAGUCAUCAUGGCCCUUACGAGUAGGGCUACACACGUGCUACAAUGGCGCAUACAAAGAGAAGCGAACUCGCGAGAGCAAGCGGACCUCAUAAAGUGCGUCGUAGUCCGGAUUGGAGUCUGCAACUCGACUCCAUGAAGUCGGAAUCGCUAGUAAUCGUAGAUCAGAAUGCUACGGUGAAUACGUUCCCGGGCCUUGUACACACCGCCCGUCACACCAUGGGAGUGGGUUGCAAAAGAAGUAGGUAGCUUAACCUUCGGGAGGGCGCUUACCACUUUGUGAUUCAUGACUGGGGUGAAGUCGUAACAAGGUAACCGUAA